rnacentral:rRNA from 1 species
AACAGGAUUAGAUACCCUGGUAGUCCACGCCGUAAACGAUGUCGACUUGGAGGUUGUUCCCUUGAGGAGUGGCUUCCGGAGCUAACGCGUUAAGUCGACCGCCUGGGGAGUACGGCCGCAAGGUUAAAACUCAAAUGAAUUGACGGGGGCCCGCACAAGCGGUGGAGCAUGUGGUUUAAUUCGAUGCAACGCGAAGAACCUUACCUACUCUUGACAUCCAGCGAACUUAGCAGAGAUGCUUUGGUGCCUUCGGGAACGCUGAGACAGGUGCUGCAUGGCUGUCGUCAGCUCGUGUUGUGAAAUGUUGGGUUAAGUCCCGCAACGAGCGCAACCCUUAUCCUUUGUUGCCAGCGAUUCGGUCGGGAACUCAAAGGAGACUGCCGGUGAUAAACCGGAGGAAGGUGGGAUGACGUCAAGUCAUCAUGGCCCUUACGAGUAGGGCUACACACGUGCUACAAUGGCGCAUACAAAGAGAAGCGACCUCGCGAGAGCAAGCGGACCUCACAAAGUGCGUCGUAGUCCGGAUCGGAGUCUGCAACUCGACUCCGUGAAGUCGGAAUCGCUAGUAAUCGUGGAUCAGAAUGCCACGGUGAAUACGUUCCCGGGCCUUGUACACACCGCCCGUCACACCAUGGGAGUGGGUUGCAAAAGAAGUAGGUAGCUUAACCUUCGGGAGGGCGCUUACCACUUUGUGAUUCAUGACUGGGGUGAAGUCGUAACAAGGUAACC